AGCGAACGCUGGCGGCAGGCCUAACAUAUGCAAGUCGAACGGAUCCUUCAGGAUUAGUGGCGGACGGGUGAGUAACACGUGGGAACGUGCCCUUUGGUUCGGAACAACUCAGGGAAACUUGAGCUAAUACAGGAUGUGCCCUUCGGGGGAAAGAUUUAACGCCAUUGGAGCGGCCCGCGUCUGAUUAGCUAGUUGGUGAGGUAAAGGCUCACCAAGGCGACGAUCAGUAGCUGGUCUGAGAGGAUGAUCAGCCACAUUGGGACUGAGACACGGCCCAAACUCCUACGGGAGGCAGCAGUGGGGAAUCUUGCGCAAUGGGAGAAAGCCUGACGCAGCCAUGCCGCGUGAAUGAUGAAGGUCUUAGGAUUGUAAAAUUCUUUCACCGGGGACGAUAAUGACGGUACCCGGAGAAGAAGCCCCGGCUAACUUCGUGCCAGCAGCCGCCGUAAAAC
rnacentral:rRNA from 1 species